rnacentral:misc_RNA from 1 species
GUUUUUGUUAGAUAUUUUUGUACUAAAAAAGGGUAUAGAUGUUAUCAUCCACCUUUGAGAAAGUAUUAUGUAAGUAUGGAUGUCACUUUUAGGGAAUCUGAGUCUUUUUUCCAAACACCUGUUUAUUUGGAGAAUAAGAGGGAAGAAGUGUUUGUUCCCCCAUCUUCUUUCCUUCCAAUUCUUCAAGGUGAGAGUAAUGAUUUCAGGAUGAAUCACCUCAACAGGUUCAAAAUGGAUCACCUCAGCCUAGAGAGAGAUUGAAUAGGUUGCAUGUGAGAACCUACACAGGUCAGACUAGAAUGGAUGAGACAAUUGAGCAUAAUACUCCCGAUCAAUCAAAAUUCCUAGAUUCAAACCCUAAACAUCCUGAAGUAUGUAAUGAAUCUCCUUAUAUUGCUAGUUCUAAUCCUAAUUCUAAUGUUGAAGUUCCUAUUGCCUUAAGAAAGGAGUCAAAGCUUAUACCAAGCACUCCAUUUCUAAUGUUGUCUGUUUUUUCUGUUUCUAUUCCACAGGAUUAGAAGGAAGCAUAUCUUGAUUCAAGAUGGAAGACUACUAUGGUUGAGGAGAUGAAUCCUUAAGCAAAAAAUGGGACAUGGGAUCUUGUUAAUCUUCCAUUGGAAAAGAAACUGGUUAGAUGCAAAUGGUUAUUUACUAUAAUGCAUAAAGCAGAUGGUUCCAUUGAAAGAUAUAAA